CAGUCGAGCGGCAGCGGUCCCUUCGCGGACGCCGGCGAGCGGCGUACGGGUGAGUAAUGCCUAGGAAUCUGCCUGGUAGUGGGGGAUAACGCGAGGAAACUCGCGCUAUACCGCAGACUUCCUAGGGGAGAGAGGGGGGGACCUUCGGGCCUCUCGCUAUCAGAUGAGCCUAGGUCGGAUUAGCUAGUUGGUGAGGUAAAGGCCUACCAAGGCGACGAUCCGUAACUGGUCUGAGAGGAUGAUCAGUCACACUGGAACUGAGACACGGUCCAGACUCCUACGGGAGGCAGCAGUGGGGAAUAUUGGACAAUGGGCGAAAGCCUGAUCCAGCCAUGCCGCGUGUGUGAAGAAGGUCUUCGGAUUGUAAAGCACUUUAAGUUGGGAGGAAGGGCAGUAAGUUAAUACCUUGCUGUUUUGACGUUACCGACAGAAUAAGCACCGGCUAACUCUGUGCCAGCAGCCGCGGUAAUACAGAGGGUGCAAGCGUUAAUCGGAAUUACUGGGCGUAAAGCGCGCGUAGGUGGUUCAGCAAGUUGGAUGUGAAAUCCCCGGGCUCAACCUGGGAACUGCAUCCAAAACUACUGAGCUAGAGUACGGUAGAGGGUGGUGGAAUUUCCUGUGUAGCGGUGAAAUGCGUAGAUAUAGGAAGGAACACCAGUGGCGAAGGCGACCUAUCCUGGACUGAUACUGA
rnacentral:rRNA from 1 species